rnacentral:rRNA from 1 species
UAACGAAGGGUGCAAGCGUUACUCGGAAUUACUGGGCGUAAAGCGUGCGUAGGCGGUCUGUUAAGUCCGUUGUGAAAGCCCUGGGCUCAACCUGGGAAUUGCAGUGGAUACUGGCAGGCUAGAGUACGGUAGAGGAUGGUGGAAUUCCCGGUGUAGCGGUGAAAUGCGUAGAGAUCGGGAGGAACACCCGUGGCGAAGGCGGCCAUCUGGACCAGUACUGACGCUGAGGCACGAAAGCGUGGGGAGCAAACAGGG